GAAGCCAAGAUUCAAACCAUGAUAGAUGAAUAUGCUCCAGCCGAGGGUAGCUGUCAAGUUCAAAUCAAACGGCUUGGACAGUACUUGG
rnacentral:ribozyme from 1 species